rnacentral:rRNA from 1 species
GAAUUUUGGACAAUGGGCGAAAGCCUGAUCCAGCAAUGCCGCGUGCAGGAUGAAGGCCUUCGGGUUGUAAACUGCUUUCGUACGGAACGAAAAGCUCUGGGUUAAUACCCUGGCGUCAUGACGGUACCGUAAGAACAGGCACCGGCUAACUCCGGGCCAGCAGCCGCGGUAAUACGGAGGGUGCCAGCGUUGAUCGGAAUUACUGGGCGUAAAGCGUGCGCAGGCGGUUUUGUAAGACAGAGGUGAAAUCCCCGGGCUCAACCUGGGGACUGCCUUUGUGACUGCAAGGCUAGAGUACGGCAGAGGGGGGUGGAAUUCCGCGUGUAGCAGUGAAAUGCGUAGAUAUGCGGAGGAACACCGAUGGCGAAGGCAACCCCCUGGGCCUGUACUGACGCUCAUGCACGAAAGCGUGGGGAGCAAA